AUUUGUUUGUCCGUUUGACUUUUAAACAAUGUUCUAAAACAAGGUAUUCCUCGCCAAGUACUCGCUUCAUGGUGCCUGGCCUAGCAACUACCGAGUAGCAAGUUUUAGAACACUGCUUUUAAAUGGAUAAAAUUCCCUCUUUGCCCUUACUUUUUUGAAAUAAAGUAACUUUUCAAAAAAAUUGAAGGGUAAAUAUUGGAAAAUACACUACUUUUAGGUGUAAUCAUUAUGCUUCCUAAAUAAGUUGGAUUCCCAAUAUUAGACAAACAAAUUGGAUGGAGGGGAGUAUUAAAGAGCAGGAGAUGAGAGCAAAUGUAAGUAAAAAGCACAGUAAAUCGAUCAAAUAGAGGGCAAAGUUGAUUCUCUUAGGGUAAAACGAGUCCACAGCUACAUCAAUAGAGGGCAGAGCUUAUGGCCAGCCUAUUGGGGAAAGCAUUGCCAAAACAACUAAAGCUCUUACUUCUAAUCCAGUGUUGGCCGAUAGCAUGGAAAUGGCUGCUUUCAAAGAAUUGCACGUUGUCUGUCAAAUCUGCUUAAUAUGCUACAUCUAAAGAAUGGCAUGUUUUCUGUCAAAUAAUAACUUCCAAGAAGACAUUUCACAUGAAGAUGAAACAAUAUAAAGCAAUGUACAAUGCCUAGAUUAGGCAGCCAACUAGUCGGCAUCUAAUCCUCGCCUAGGCACUAGGCGCCCCUUUUUCCGCCCGAAUAGAGCCUAGCAAUAUUUAGAACACAGAUUUAAAGAAUGGCAUGCUGGUAAAAAUAAUUUUGAAGUUGAACGACAGGAAUAGGCAGCAGCCGUGUGCAAAUAGGAGGCUCUCUCAAAAGGUUUUUUUUACCACACAGA